rnacentral:rRNA from 1 species
UCCGAUCUGGCAAGUUAAGCAACGUUGGGCUUCCUUAGUACUUGGAACGGAGACGUCCUGGGAAUCGGGAGUGUCGUAACCUUU